ensembl:lncRNA
CCAAAGAGAGAAGAUUUGGUGAAAGCCUGCAAUGCCCUUGGAGUAUCAAAUGUAGGUAGUACCACUGACUUAAUAAACAGACUUGAGGAGCUACUGCUUUACAAGGACUUGUACCCCAAGAUGUUCAUCAAGCUUCAGUAGGUGGUGUUUUGCACAUGACUUGCACACACUCUGUGGUGUACUACCAAUCAGCACUGUGGUGGCAAGUGUCAGCCCGUGACCAUGGAGAUGCUCUGAGCUUUAAACACCCUCCCACAGUGUUUGUGUCAGAUAUUGCUGGACGUGUUGCAAGACAUGUUAAUAAUCGCACCAACCAGCGAUUUUUCCAGCCAUAUGAUGGCCGGCUUUGUGCAAACACUCCUGAGCACAUCCAGGCUGCAGCAGAAAAAACGACUUGAAGUCCAAUCCCAUGGGUGACAAGUGUUGGCUUCUCAUCAAGAACAGUCUCUGGAAAUGAGACCACCAAUUCUUCUGACAGAUUCUUCUCACUGCAUCCUGUGACAGGAACCAAUGCAAGAUUCUCCUUGUAUGAUCGCUUCCAUCAGAAAAAUCAAAGGAGACAAGUUUGAGGAGUUUGAAAUUGGCACCACAUUUAGCUGCUCUUGUCAACUCCCGCUUAGCAGAACAGCUAAACCGGGAGUUGUCUUCUAGCAAGUACUCGUUGUGUCAAAUGAAAGAUGAACAUUAUAUGUUCUCUCUUCGACUGUACUUUCAUCUUCACAACAAAAGGAUUAAUGACAAAUACACCAAAACUUUGAAGAUGCGAGCGAAGCAAUCAGUCCACAUUGGCCUACAUGGGAAACUGACAUUCAGGAGAGAAGGCAGUACCACAGCAGUUCCAGAAGAUCUGUAUUUUGUAGUUUCAACAAGUUUACGAGAGCCUGACACUGACUGCUGGGGACGGACAGAUAUACGUGCCAGGAAGGAGAUCCCAGAUUUCCAGUUGCAAAACCAGCCAAACCCACUGUUGGAUCAUGUUUUGGAUGAGACUCAAUCACCGGAAGAGAUCAUAGGUGCAGUGGGUACCACAGUGUUGAAAAGAUUGGAUUUGUCUUUAGGAUUGAACCAGGAAGUGGAGGCAACAAUGGUGAAUUGUUGCCUUUCUCAGUUAUCCAUAAUUUCUGAACAAAAGGUAAUACAGGUAUCAUUAACAAACCUCUUUAACAGUAACUAAUAUUACAUAAUAUUUGUGCUUUUGUGAUAUGUUGUAAAAUGUUUGUUUUUUACCAGGGCAAGGAUGUUCAUGCUGUCAAUUCAUAUGUAGUGGUCACUUGGCAACCACCUUUAAAUUGUGAUCCGUUUCUGUCCCUGCCUGUAAGUGGUUUUAGAAACUUAAUUAAACGUAGUUUAAUUUUAAUGUACUGCUUUAAUGUUAUCAUCACUUAAAGGUGACAUAGGUGAUUCUCUACAGAAACAUUUUGUUAUGCUGGUUGAAAGUCUCCAGGUAUCCUGAUAGCAUUCACUAAGUGGUAUAAAUGUAAUUUUAUAAAUGUAUUUAGUCCGUGGGAAACUUACGUUUAUGUUGUGUCUCCAACAGUUGUGGUUUGGUUGUUGUCAUCAAAUAAUGUGUGGUGUUUUUUUUUUUUUUUUU